CCCUUAGAUGUUCUGGGCUGCACGCGCGCUACACUGAUGCAUGCAACGAGUUUUCGACCUUGCCUGAAAAGGCUGGGUAAUCUGUUUAACAUGUGUCGUGAUGGGGAUAGACCAUUGCAAUUAUUGAUCUUCAACGAGGAAUUCCUAGUAAGCGCGAGUCAUCAGCUCGUGCUGAUUAUGUCCCUGCCCUUUGUACACACCGCCCGUCGCUCCUACCGAUUGAGUGAUCCAGUGAAUGAUUCGGACCAGCGUGCUGCUCAGAUCCUGCGCAGUGUGCUGGGAAGUCUAGUGAACCUUAUCACUUAGAGGAAGGAGAAGUCGUAACA
rnacentral:rRNA from 1 species